ACUGAAAACCUGCUGGAGCAAUCCUGGCGUAUUUCCCAAUAAGCUGUAGACUUGUGAUUCAAGCUGGAAGACACAAACCACUCAUAUGACCAAAAGACCGCUACAGCAGGCUGGUGCAGGAGGUGCAGACCGGUGGUGUUGGUGGAGACCGCUACAGCUGGCUGGUGCAGGAGGUGAAGGAGGUGGUGUUGGCCGCUACAGCAGACUGGUGCAGACUGGUGGUGUUGGUGUUGGUGGAGACCACUACAGCAGGCUGGUGCGGGUGAUGUUGACGUUUCCCUCCAAAAGAGUAACUGCAAUGAUAUUACAGU